rnacentral:rRNA from 1 species
GGGCCCGCACAAGCGGUGGAGCAUGUGGUUUAAUUCGAUGAUACGCGAGGAACCUUACCAGGGCUUAAAUGUAGUAUGACCGGCUUGGAAACAGGCCUUCUCUUCGGAGCAGAUUACAAGGUGCUGCAUGGUUGUCGUCAGCUCGUGCCGUGAGGUGUUAGGUUAAGUCCUGCAACGAGCGCAACCCCUAUUCUUAGUUGCCAGCGGUUCGGCCGGGGACUCUAAGAAGACUGCCAGCGCAAGCUGAGAGGAAGGUGGGGAUGACGUCAAAUCAUCACGGCCCUUACGUCCUGGGCUACACACGUGCUACAAUGGUAGAGACAGAGGGCAGCCACCUGGUGACAGGGAGCG